rnacentral:tRNA from 1 species
AGCUUUAUAUUCAAUUAUGAUAUUAAAUUGCAAGUUUAAUGGUUCUCAAAGUGGAUAAGGCUU